rnacentral:rRNA from 3 species
UGGGGAAUAUUGGACAAUGGGCGAAAGCCUGAUCCAGCAAUGCCGCGUGAGUGAUGAAGGUCUUCGGAUUGUAAAGCUCUUUCGACGGGGAAGAUAAUGACGGUACCCGUAGAAGAAGCCCCGGCUAACUUCGUGCCAGCAGCCGCGGUAAUACGAAGGGGGCUAGCGUUGUUCGGAUUUACUGGGCGUAAAGCGUGCGUAGGCGGCUUAUCAAGUCAGAAGUGAAAGCCCGGGGCUCAACUCCGGAACUGCUUUUGAGACUGGUAGGCUGGAGUUCGGGAGAGGGUAGUGGAAUUCCCAGUGUAGAGGUGAAAUUCGUAGAUAUUGGGAAGAACACCGGUGGCGAAGGCGGCUGCCUGGCCCGAAACUGACGCUGAGGCACGAAAGCGUGGGGAGCAAACAGG